ensembl:lincRNA
CCCCCCCCCCCUUGAUUUAAUGAGGUUUUUGAGGGAAACCUUCUUCCUCAUCCCAAAAAUGAUAACAAAAUGAUCGUGUGGAUCUUUUCAUCCUUGGUUAAACGAGCGGCCAUGGGCGGGAGUUCCCUCCUCGACCCACCUCCGGUACAGAACGUGCUUCGGCAGACAUGGUCAUCGUUGGAAUGGACAGCUUCUUGGAAUGGCUCCAAACGCAAGGCCUGAGAGCAGAAACAGCCCAAGCAGUGAUCAAUGUGCUUGGAAUUGAGAAUCACAAGUUUCUUCGAGCUUGUACAGACUCCGAGUCAUUGCGAACAGAGCUCCUCUCUCUUGCCAAAGAGAAAUUUAAAUUUGCAAUGUAUGCUGACCUCUGUAAAUUUGUGAAUUCUUUUUCGAAACACCAGGUUGUCCAGCUUGCAGGCUCUUCUCUGUUGGGAAGUCUGUUUCUCAACUUGGAGAAUGUUAUUCGAGAACUAUCUCGUUUCUGCCAAGAGUUUAUGGGUUUCCAAAAUGUGCAGUUGGAAAAUGUUCAUGGUGUCCGGGAAAUCGGUGUCGGUGAUGUCUGCAACCUGCACUAUCAGGAUGAUGGAUUAACACCCAAGUCUGGUGAAGAUGAUCUGGAAGAGGGAACUAAUUUCCAAAAGGAUAGUCCUCAAAACCUUUUGAUCUCAUCUGUUCCGAUUGAAGAUUCAAACGAUGCAUCAAUGGAAGAAUCCAACAGUGCUUCUCUUGUUGAUCCAGGGCCCGCCCCUUUUUCUCCUGUGAUCCGAUUUCCGAGGCGAAGCUUUCACAGAGCGGACAUGCGUGAAAUCACCGUCGCUGGCGCCAACAAUGAAACCCCCGCUUCGGUUUGCAGCGACGCUGUUCGCUGAGGACUCACCGCGGCUGGUGCAAAGAUGGCGUCGCUUUGCGGAUGAAGAUGAGGCGAUGUUAUUUGGGUGGGGGAGAUGCGGUUUAGGAGAUGGUGGGGAGAGGGUGGUUGGUGGUUGAGGCGAUCAUGGUUGUUGUAGUUGGUGUCGAUCGUGGUUGUUGUGGUUGGUGGUUGAAGCGAUCGUGGUUGGUAUUGAUCGUGGUUGGUGGUUGAGGCGAUCGUGGUUGGUGUUGAUCGUGGUUGGUGGUUGAGGCGAUCGUGGUUGGUGUUGAUCGUGGUUGUGGUGAAGUCGUUGGUCCAAAAUAACGAUAGCGAAAGAAAAACUGCUAACUGAAGAUCACAGCCCGGGUGACACGAAUAAUUCCCAUUAAACAACGGUGGGGAAAUCUAACUGAACACGGACUUAUCAGCAUAACUGAACUAAGGACCUAUAUGGUGUUCUGCGAAUUUCCACAACUGUAACACUAUUACUAUAGUUAUUCUACUGACCGAUUUUGUACCGGAUCUGGAGGGAAAACGGUUGGAUGAAAUUCAACGAAACGUAACACGAUAAUUACUCUCCACCUGAAGUUUAUACUUUGAAACAUUUGAUGAUGUCGGUCACGUGGUAUGGCGGCUAUAUUGGAUUAUCUCCAAAACCUAAAAACAUCUUCUCCAGAACGGAUAAAGUGACAGCCUCAAACUUUUGCACACCUUUGUUACGUUCCAUGAGAUUAAGUUGUUAAUUUGGUCCAAAUCGUGAUGCAAUUUAUAUGAUUUAAAAUGAUGCAGAUUUGCCUCAUUAAGUAUGCAAAAUAUGCAAAUGAGUUGAAAAAAUGUAAUGACAUUUAGAUAGGACAUAAACAGGGGACUCUCAAUAUGUUUAUACUAUGUCUGUGUUUGACCCCAUUGAGGUUGCAGAGCCCCCCAAUGUUGAAAAUCACCCAUUUUUGAAAUGUCAUAAAAUGAAAACAACACUUGGAGAAAAUUCAAUGAACCUCAACCAAGUAAUAACUCUCCACCUGAAGUUAAUACUUUGAAAAUUUUGAUGACGUAGGUCACGUGGUAUGGUAGCCAUAUUGGAUUUUCUCCAAAACCUAAAAACAUCUUCUCCAGAACGAUUAACUCAACAGCCUCAAUCUUUUGCACACAUGUGCUACGUUCUAUGUGAAUGUUAAGUUGUUAAUUUGGUCAAAAUCGUUACAUCAUCUAUAUGAUUACAAUGAUGCCGAUUCGCAUCAUUAAAUAUGCAAAUGAGAGUUGAAAAAAUUUAAUGACUGAUUUAGAUAGGCCUUAAAGAGGGGACUCCCAAUAUGUUUAUACAAUGUCUGUAUUUGACCCCAGUGAGGCCCCAGUGCCCCCCAAAGUUAAAAAUCAGCCAUUUUUGAAAUGUCGUAAAAUGAAAACAACAGUUGGAUGAAAUUCAAUGAAACUUCACACCGUAAUAACUCUCCACCUGAGGUUUAUACUUUGAAAAUUUUGAUGACGCAGGUCACGUUGUUUGGUGGCCAUAUUGGAUUUUCUCCAAAACCUAAAAACAUCUUCUCCAGAAGGGAUAAUCCGACAGCCUCAAACUUUUGCACACAUGUCUGAUGUUGCAUGGGAAUGUUAAGUUGUUAAUUUGGUCGAAAUCGUUACA